GAGAGGUAGACGUAUGUAGACAAAUAAGUUGUAGCAUAUAAUCGUCUACACACACACACACACACACACGCGCGCGCACACACACACAGAAUAUUAAUUUUUUUCAUAAUUAUUUUCUGUUUUACUUUAAGAAUUGGUAUACUUGUAAAGUAUCGGAGUUAGGAACAAAAUUAGCGGAAAUAUAUAAAAAUAACUACAGAAAUAUAGAUGUGAAAAAUUUUUAUGGGGGCCAUUUUGAGAAACUUAAACAUGGUUACUUCGGCGAUCUUUCAAAACUAUCCUUAAAAAAUAAAAGUCUUACGAUUAAGUCAACAAAUUCGCACACGAAGCAUAUUGUAUUCGAAUUAAUUCUUCCAAAUGGCUUCGUACAUUAUAAAAUUUAUCAGCAUCCGGAACCAUCAGAUAAUUUAGCAUUUUGAUAUAAUUAUGACGUUGAUAUGAAUUGGUUUGUAAUCUUUGACGUAUGUGAAUCAGCAUUAUUCUGCAAGUCCAUAGUUAAUGAUUUUAGAGUGUACCG